GAUGAACGCUGGCGGCGUGCCUAAUACAUGCAAGUCGAACGCGAGCAGCAAUGCUCGAGUGGCGAACGGGUGAGUAAUACAUAAGUAACCUGCCCUAGACAGGGGGAUAACUGCUGGAAACGGCAGCUAAGACCGCAUAGGUAUGGACACUGCAUGGUGACAUAUUAAAAGUGCCAAGGCACUGGUAGAGGAUGGACUUAUGGCGCAUUAGCUGGUUGGUGAGGUAACGGCUCACCAAGGCGACGAUGCGUAGCCGACCUGAGAGGGUGACCGGCCACACUGGGACUGAGACACGGCCCAG
rnacentral:rRNA from 1 species